CUGUGCUAGGUGGGGAGUUAGUGGUGCCCUAAUCCUACAAUCCACUAUUAGUAGGGCUGAAUGCUUUUCUAGGUAUUUUAUAUGGAAGGCUGAACAAAACAAGCGAUGUUGAUUCCAAGGUCUUGUGCAAUAGCAGUUUUAUGAACCGUGUCAGAGCCUGACCGCAGCAGCACUAAAUAUCAUUUGCUAUGUGCCACAAGGAAGCUUUGGCGGAGUUGGCUAUUUUGUCCCCGCUUCGGUGUAGAGUAUCGAAAAAAGAUGCACAG
rnacentral:SRP_RNA from 1 species